GUGCCAGCAGCCGCGGUAAUACGUAGGGUCCAAGCGUUAAUCGGAAUUACUGGGCGUAAAGCGUGCGCAGGCGGUUUUAUAAGCCAGAUGUGAAAUCCCCGGGCUUAACCUGGGAAUGGCAUUUGGGACUGUAAGGCUAGAGUACGGCAGAGGGGACUAGAAUUCCUGGUGUAGCAGUGAAAUGCGUAGAUAUCAGGAGGAAUACCGAUGGCGAAGGCAGGUCCCUGGGUCGAUACUGACGCUCAUGCACGAAAGCGUGGGGAGCAAACAGGAUUAGAAACCCUCGUAGUCC
rnacentral:rRNA from 1 species